rnacentral:rRNA from 1 species
AGAGUUUGAUCCUGGCUCAGGACGAACGCUGGCGGCGUGCCUAAUACAUGCAAGUCGAACGCUUCUUUUUCCACCGGAGCUUGCUCCACCGGAAAAAGAGGAGUGGCGAACGGGUGAGUAACACGUGGGUAACCUGCCCAUCAGAAGGGGAUAACACUUGGAAACAGGUGCUAAUACCGUAUAACAAUCGAAACCGCAUGGUUUUGAUUUGAAAGGCGCUUUCGGGUGUCGCUGAUGGAUGGACCCGCGGUGCAUUAGCUAGUUGGUGAGGUAACGGCUCACCAAGGCCACGAUGCAUAGCCGACCUGAGAGGGUGAUCGGCCACAUUGGGACUGAGACACGGCCCAAACUCCUACGGGAGGCAGCAGUAGGGAAUCUUCGGCAAUGGACGAAAGUCUGACCGAGCAACGCCGCGUGAGUGAAGAAGGUUUUCGGAUCGUAAAACUCUGUUGUUAGAGAAGAACAAGGAUGAGAGUAACUGUUCAUCCCUUGACGGUAUCUAACCAGAAAGCCACGGCUAACUACGUGCCAGCAGCCGCGGUAAUACGUAGGUGGCAAGCGUUGUCCGGAUUUAUUGGGCGUAAAGCGAGCGCAGGCGGUUUCUUAAGUCUGAUGUGAAAGCCCCCGGCUCAACCGGGGAGGGUCAUUGGAAACUGGGAGACUUGAGUGCAGAAGAGGAGAGUGGAAUUCCAUGUGUAGCGGUGAAAUGCGUAGAUAUAUGGAGGAACACCAGUGGCGAAGGCGGCUCUCUGGUCUGUAACUGACGCUGAGGCUCGAAAGCGUGGGGAGCAAACAGGAUUAGAUACCCUGGUAGUCCACGCCGUAAACGAUGAGUGCUAAGUGUUGGAGGGUUUCCGCCCUUCAGUGCUGCAGCUAACGCAUUAAGCACUCCGCCUGGGGAGUACGACCGCAAGGUUGAAACUCAAAGGAAUUGACGGGGGCCCGCACAAGCGGUGGAGCAUGUGGUUUAAUUCGAAGCAACGCGAAGAACCUUACCAGGUCUUGACAUCCUUUGACCACUCUAGAGAUAGAGCUUCCCCUUCGGGGGCAAAGUGACAGGUGGUGCAUGGUUGUCGUCAGCUCGUGUCGUGAGAUGUUGGGUUAAGUCCCGCAACGAGCGCAACCCUUAUUGUUAGUUGCCAUCAUUUAGUUGGGCACUCUAGCAAGACUGCCGGUGACAAACCGGAGGAAGGUGGGGAUGACGUCAAAUCAUCAUGCCCCUUAUGACCUGGGCUACACACGUGCUACAAUGGGAAGUACAACGAGUCGCGAAGUCGCGAGGCUAAGCUAAUCUCUUAAAGCUUCUCUCAGUUCGGAUUGCAGGCUGCAACUCGCCUGCAUGAAGCCGGAAUCGCUAGUAAUCGCGGAUCAGCACGCCGCGGUGAAUACGUUCCCGGGCCUUGUACACACCGCCCGUCACACCACGAGAGUUUGUAACACCCGAAGUCGGUGAGGUAACCUUUUGGAGCCAGCCGCCUAAGGUGGGAUAGAUGAUUGGGGUGAAGUCGUAACAAGGUAGCCGUAUCGGAAGGUGCGGCUGGAUCACCU